GAACACGCGGGAUGGCGGGGGCGGGGCACGGGUUAGGGGCCAACCGGAAGUACGCGGCCUGGUUGCUGCCAAGGAUCCCCCAGACGCAUCCGGUCAGCUCGGAUUGGUGCGCCGGGGUGGGAGCGGAAAGUAGAGCAGCAGGUGCACGGGGGGGAAAUGGAAAACAGAUCGUUGCGCGAGGCAGGAUGCGGAGAGCAGCCUGGCAGAUGAUGCGGCACAGGGGAUCGUGGCGGCUUUCCAGGAGCACGGACUACAAUACGCCGGGAGGGAGGAGGAAAUCUGCGCCGUGUGCGGGUGCAGGAAACCUGUGCUUGUGCGGAGCGACCCCGUGCUGCUGUGCGCAGAAGCAGGUGCAGUGACAGCUGAUCAGCUUGACAAGGCCCGCGCACGCGUACUUGCUUUGCCCACUGCUGGGGCUCUCCGACGCACCACCUGUUCCCCAGUGCGCAUGCGUAUUCAUGGCUGUUCAUAGAUGGUUUCAUGGCGCAAGUGGGAGCCUGCACUGUAUGGCGCCUGCACGCUGGGUCUCCCUCCCUGGUUUUACGCUGCAACCGCUCUCCCGCACAGCAGCGCCGAGCCGUGACUUGCUGUGGCUGGGUGCUAGGAGAAAGCGGGGGACCGUCUAUGCUUGCCCCCUCACCCAGGGUUGGACGCAGGGUGCCCGCUAGUGCUAACUCCCAAUACGCAUGUGUACUUUCGGUUUUCGUCGUGUCGUCCCUGUCGCCGUAACCACGGCCGCUCAUCGAUCAUCGCCGCUCUGGCAGCGUCCACAGAUUCGCAGGAAGCAUGCGCCAAUCGAUUAUAUUGGUGCUCGACGCAAUUAGACUAACCAAUGCGCAUGCGCAAUGAGAUGCCAUCGAUUGACUCGGCGAUCAGCUGAUCAGGCUCAGAGGCAAACGCGUACAUCCACUGCCCUUUGAUGGGCAAGCCGUGUGCGACACCGUCGUGCAGGACAAACAGGUCCAGGGAGGUGAUACUUACCCUCUAUGCGACAUUGGUCAAGCUGCAGUCGGAGUACUCUGCCCGGUUUUGGAUGCCACACUUCAAGAGGGAUGUGGACAACCUUGUGAGGGUUCAGAGGAGGGCAAAAGCUAGUCCUUGCGCUCCUGUCCUUGGAACCAGCUUAUCGGUGAGGAGGCGCAGCGUGACAUUCGACACCAAAAGGCCCGGAGUAGAAGGGCCCCCAACAUCUGUCGCAUCUGCAACGGGUCCCUGCGUGAGCUACUGAGAAACGAGCGUUUGGGGCCCGCACCGGUCUCUCAGAAACAUCCAAGCCAAGCCUGGCAGCAGGUGCCUGUGCGUUCCUGCCUCGGACACGGUCAGGGAACGCAACGCGCCAGCAGUUGCCUCGGCUUCUGACCGCACGCACGUCGUUUGCUUGCAAGCAUCCAAAGCUAGCACCUCCAGCGGCUGCAGCUGUUGCUUCCCAAGUACUAGGAGAGCCUUGCAAAAGCAAUGGCCUGCCCCUGGGCCAGGCUGAUACCAGUGGCUCAGACCCAGAGACUUGCUGUUGUACCUCCCGGUGUCUGGAUUAGGUGUCGAGCACUUGGAACUCUGGCAGCUUCAGCACAUAUUAACCUCUUGUCCUCCUGUGGCCAACACCACAGAGCCCAUUACCCUAAUGUUUCUGUCAGCCUCUGUCUCACCCUUCCCCUGAAGGCCUCCCAUGAAAUCCCUUGUCCCAUCCCAGUCUGCAGGUUGGCUCCACCAGUAUUUCCCAGCUGCACGUGGAGAGUUGCAAGGGAGGUGGGGAAGAGAGUUUUAUGCCUGCAUACUCUUUGCUUGUUUCAGCCUGAAGCUGUUUGUCUCAGGGCCUUUUUUUCCCCUCUCUCCUCCUCUGUCUGUGCUUCUGCUGUGUAGCCACUGCCUCCUGUGUAUGUGGGAAGGUGAUGUAAGGGAGUGCACAGUUGCCCUUAAGAAGGAGCAAUUUUUCUAUGGAGUUAAGCUGAAACUGCUGUACAGAGCACCUUGCAAAAUGCCUCCAGGUCUGCAGCAGUAGAAGGUGUAUGGGGUAAGGCACAGAGAUGAGGGAAUCGCACUGUGUUGCCCUCUGUGAGCUUCCCGGGAAACACUUUGGGGGGGGGGGGGGGAGUGCAGUUCAUGUAGGUGUGGCUGGGCAGUGCAACCAUUUUUCUUCCAUGCUCAUGGGGUGUGGGUGCAUAGAUUCAUAGAUGUUAGGGUCGGAAGGGACCUCAGUAGAUCAUCGAGUCCGACCCCCUGCAUAAGCAGGAAAGAGUGCUGGGUCUAGAUGACCCCAGCUAGAUACUCAUCUAACCUCCUCUUGAAGACCCCCAGGGUAGGGGAGAGCACCACCUCCCUUGGGAGCCCGUUCCAGACCUUGGCCACUCAAACUGUGAAGAAGUUCUUCCUAAUGUCCAAUCUAAAUCUGCUCUCUGCUAGCUUGUGGCCAUUGUUUCUUGUAACCCCCGGGGGCGCCUUGGUGAAUAAAUACUCACCAAUUCCCUUCUGUGCUCCCGUGAUGAACUUAAAGGCAGCCACAAGGUCGCCUGUCAACCUUCUCUUGCGGAGGCUGAAAAGAUCCAGUUUCUCUAGUCUCUCCUCGUAGGGCUUUGUCUGCAGGCCCUUGAGCAUACGAGUUGCCCUUCUCUGGACCCUCUCCAGGUUAUCCACAUCCUUCUUGAAGUGUGGCGCCCAGAAUUGCACGCAGUACUCCAACUGCGGUCUGACCAGCGCCCGAUAGAGGGGAAGUAUCACCUCCCUGGACCUAUUCGUCAUGCAUCUGCUGAUGCACGAUAAAGUGCCAUUGGCUUUUCUGAUGGCUUCGUCACGCUGCCGGCUCAUGUUCAUCUUGGAGUCCACUAGGACUCCAAGAUCCCUUUCCACCUCUGUGCCACCCAGCAGGUCAUUCCCUAGGCAGUAGGUGUGCUGGACAUUUUUCCUCCCUAGGUGCAGCACUUUGCAUUUCUCCUUGUUGAACUGCAUCCUGUUGUUUUCUGACCACUUGUCCAAUCUAUCCAGGUCUGCCUGCAGCUGUUCCCUGCCCUCCGGCGUGUCCACUUCUCCCCAUAGCUUUGUGUCAUCUGCAAACUUGGACAGAGUACAUUUCACUCCCUCGUCCAAGUCGCCGAUGAAGACAUUAAAGAGUAUCGGUCCAAGGACCAAGCCCUGUGGGACCCCACUGCCCACACCCUUCCAGGUCGAGACCGACCCAUCCACCACGACUCUUUGGGUGCGGCCCUCUAGCCAAUUCGCCACCCACCGGACUGUGUCGUCAUCCACGUCACAGCCUCUUAACUUGUUCACCAGUAUGGGGUGGGAUACCGUAUCGAAGGCCUUCCUGAAGUCUAAGUAUACGACAUCCACCCCUCCUCCUGUGUCCAGGCAUUUCGUAACCUGGUCAUAGAAAGAGACUAGAUUGGUCAGGCACGAUCUGCCCGCCACAAACCCGUGCUGGUUUCCUCUCAGCAUAAUCUGCCCUGCCGGGCUCUCACAAAUGUGAGCCUUGAUAAUUUUUUCAAAGACUUUACCAAGGAUGGAGGUGAGACUGACUGGCCUCUAGUUGCCCGGGUCCUCCUUCCUCCCCUUUUUGAAAAUGGGGACCACGUUAGCCUUUUUCCAGUCCUCCGGGACUUGGCCCGUGCGCCACGAGCGUUCGAAUAUUCCCGCCAGUGGCUCUGCAAUGAUGUCGGCCAGUGCCUUCAGCACCCUCGGAUGGAGCUCAUCCGGGCCUGCCGACUUAAAGGCAUCCAGUUCUUCCAAGUGACUCUGCACCACCUCAGGAUCUACACAUGGCAGUCUGGCGCCUUGCUGCUGCCUCUCUACAACCCCAGUGAGAGACUUGUGCCCCUCGCUUAGGAACACUGAGGCAAAGAACUCGUUGAGGAGUUCAGCCUUGUCCCCCCUGUCCGUCACCAAUUGUUUCUGCCCAUUUAGCAGGGGUCCUAUUCCUCCCUGGGCCUUCCUUUUACUCCCAAUAUAUCUAAAAAACAAUUUCUUGUUGUCUUUUACUUGGGUUGCCAUCCUCAGCUCCAUGGUAGCUUUGGCCCGCCUAACUGCCUCCCUACAAGCACGAGCAGAGGAGGUAUAUUCAUCUUUAGUGAUCUCACCCUGUUUCCACUUUUUAUGUGCUCCCCUUUUGGCCCUUAGGCUGCCCUGGACUUCUCUGGUCAGCCAUGGAAGCCUCCUGGCCCCUUUCCCUCUUUUGCCUCGCUCGGGGAUCGUCUUGCUUUGUGCCCAAAGGAUCGUUUCCUUAAGGCACAGCCACCCUUCUUGGGCUCCCAUCCCUUCAAAACUCCUACUGUGCAGUGCGUCCUUGACUAAUCGCCUGAGUGCAUUGAGAUCAGCUUUCCUAAAGUCUAGCACUUUCACCCUACUAGUUACCUUACCCACUCGACGUCUUAUGUUGAAUUCUAUUAUAAGGUAAUCGCUGUCUCCCAAAUGGCCACCGAUCUGGAGGUCCCCUAUCAUGUCAUCUCCCGUUGCCAAUACCAGAUCCAGUAUGGCAUUCCCCCUAGUGGGACCAUGCACCUCCUGUGUCAGGUGGAGGUCCUGUACACAGGUUAGAAACCUGCGUGAGCGAUGGGACCUUGCUGUCUGCGUCUCCCAGCAGAUGUCCGGGUAGUUUAGGUCCCCCAUGACUACCGCCUCUUUAGCUUUUAUGGUCUCCGAGAGUUGCCUCAGGAGCCCCGCAUCUAUUUCUUCCCCUUGGUGUGGGGGUCUGUAGCAGACCCCUACCACCAAAUCCCUUUCUCCUUGCCCCCCAUGUAGCCUAACCCACAAUCCUUCUACUUCCUCAACCUUGGAUUCUGUCUUGAUGAGGGUUGAUGUAUAUUGCUCACUGACAUAAAGUGCAACCCCCCCCCCCCCUUUCUUCCCCAACCUUUCCUUUCUGUACAAUCUAUAGCCCUCAAUAUGUACCGCCCAGUCAUGGGAUGAAUCCCACCAGGUCUCUGUUAGCCCCACUAAGUCAUAGGUGUUUAGUGCAAGCAGGAGCGCUAGUUCAUCCUGCUUGUUCCCCAUGCUCCUAGCAUUAGUAUAUAGGCACUUGAGCCCUGCGACUGGCGCCUUUGCUGCCGCCCCACUCCGAGUCCCAAGGGGCCCAUUGUUUCUGACCUUCUUGUUUCUUACCUGUUCUGUAGUGCUGGUCUCCCCAUGGCUUUCAGGUCUCCAAUGUUCACCUUCUUCAGGCUGGGCUGUCCUUGUGGGUGCCACAUGGUUUGGUGGUCCACAGCUUCCCCUGCCCUCGUAGUCCCCUCCCCCCGAUGAGCCUAGUUUAAAGCCCGCCGGAGGAGAUCCGCCAACCUAGUAGAAAACACACGCUUACCUUUGGGGGACAGGUGAAGCCCUUCCCAGCUGAGCAUGUCCCUCGUCGUGAUGUGCGGGUCAUUGUCCAGGAAGCCGAAGCCUGCCUCGAGACACCACUGCCGAAGCCGCCAGUUGGUUUCUCGGAUGCAGUUCUCCUGCCGUCUUCCUCGUCCGGUCACUGGUAGGAUGGAAGAGAAAACCACCUGUGCACCGAACUCCUUCAGCACGCCACCCAGAGCACUGUAGUCUGCCAUCAGUGUCAGCGAGGAGCUGCAGCGUGAAAGAAGUGGGACUUGGAAAUAUCCAAGGCACCACGGGUAACAGUUUCAGCUGUGUGUGAUGGACGUAGAGAGUGUUUGUAAUCAGUCGUGUACGUUAUGGAGAACCAGGUACUGUUUAAUCUUUUGACAGACAAGCCUACAGUUCUGUUAUGGUGAGGACAGUUUUGAAGGUUAAGAGACAACAUUCUAGGAGCUGUUGUGUCCCAGUGCUUCUGUUCCCUGGUGCUUCCCCUGGGUACCCACCCUGUCUCCUAUAUGUGCUGGAGGACUGGUUUAAGGAGAUGCACAGAGGCGCCCACAGAAGUCCUGUGUGGUCAUGGGUUUACAAUGAAGACUUGCAGCUGUGUGUUGCUGGGGUGUGCCAUGUGUGAGCUGCAGCUGUCAGAGGAAUGCUUUGGAGGAAUGUCGCUCAUGAAGGGAAGCAAAAUUGUUCUGCUCCCCCCACUGAGCUUUACAGGGUGAUACCUGUGAGACAUCACAUCCCCUGUCCAAACCUGAGCCAUCUGAGCAGGGGAAGUGGCAUGGCAGAGGGGCCAAGAUACCUGGGUGACAGCCCAGAGUGCGAGUUGAAGGCUGCAAUGGAAGCGCUCAGAGUGUGGCCUGUCAGAUUCCAACAAAAUCUGUCAAGAAUCGCAUGUAGCUUAUCACAAGGACACGAAAAAGAAAAGCAGGGCCCAUGGUAGAGUCUUACUGCAUUGGUCAGUGAUUGGGGGUGAGGAGGCUACAUGUCCUUCCUUCACUGCUUGUCUGUUGACUGUCAUUGUUAAAGGGCCAGGGUUGGGGGCAGGGGCAUUCUUGGCUUCUUGGCCAAGUGCCUGGGGGAAGGAAGGUUCAGGGGGUCAGAGGUCAAAGUUGGGUGAGGGUUCAGCAACCCCAGACUGCCCAGGUCUCCCCCUGCCUCCCCCAGGGCUGGGCUAGCCGCUGCUGGCAGUGACCCUGCCUGGAGCAGUUGGCAGGCCCUUGUAAGCAGCCUGCACUGCUUGGGAAAUGUGGGCUGUGACACCUUGGUUUUUUGGACUGUGGUAAGAAAGCAAACAGCCUUGUAGUACAGGCUUCAAUUGUGGGACUGCACCCUGUUUUUGAGACAACCCCCCCCCCCCCCCCAGGAGCUUAUUUCUUGUAUGUCCAUGCAGGAUAGUUUGAGGGAGGGGGGAGGGAAUGGAAGGAAGAGGCAUGGAUGAGACCUGCAUCUUUCAUUCAGCAAAUUUCAGAUCCUGGCUGUUGUGGAGAGACUUUGGGUUGGAGAUGGAUGCAAAGAAGUGGAGGCGUGCCAUGGUGAUGGAGGAUAGAGCAGGAGGAGUAGUGUGAUGGAAGGUGGACUUACCUCAAGCGGGGGUGGUGUUUUGAGUGGGGGUGUCUGGGUGGGCUGGGAAGUCCCUGCUCUGGGUUGGUGUCCUGAGCUGCACGCUCCCAGGGCAGGGCUACUCAAGCGGAGGGCCAUGGCACCCAGGAGUGCCUCUGAGAUGAGUGGUGUACGGGCUGGGCUGGCUUGGCCCAGAGUUGCUCUGAGUCUGUGCAAAGAUGGGGAGUCUCCAGGUUGCGGUGGGACAGAGGAUUGGGUCUCUGCCUGGCUGUACCUGUUGCCACAUGCCUCCUUUCAGUGCUGGGAAUUGCAUUUAUGUCUCAUCUCUCUGGGUGUGUCACUGGUCUCUGUCUUUGUACUUCUGUUUUGAAAAAUCACUGCAGCACUUGUUACUUUGUUCUUCCCAGGACUGAAAGGAGGGUUGUGUUUGCAUGUAAAUUGAUCCUCUCACUUGGGAGGGGUGUAGCUGCAGCCCCCUGCGGUUUGUUAGUGGGGCUAGUCCAAGCUGCUGUUGUACCCCUGGUUGGGAGGGAGGGGGUGCUGUCCCGUUGGUGCUGUGAGACCUGCGCAUAGCGCUGCAAGUGUUAAUUGCUAUUGUUCAUUUUUGGUGGUGUGGACAUGUUUGGCAAGAUGACCAAAGUCUGGUCCUGAGUGGAGAAGAGCUGAGGAAGAGGUGAAGAGCCCUGGAGCUGGUAUGGCGUGGAAGGAGUUGGAGACGGCCUGAAGCCAUGCUCACGUGAUCACCUGGAGCGAGCAGGUGCCUGCAUCGUAUCUGGGAAAGGGAUAGCAAGCAUGAGGACUGAUGGCGCACAAGGACUGAAGGCGCAGCGUGAUGCCAGGUGUGGGUCCUGGUGUGCGUGGAAGGAAAGGGUGAGGGGGCAUGGGGACCGGAGCCAGAGGAUCAGGAUGCUAGAAGGAGCCAUCUUCUGAAGGCUUGAGGGCUGUGGAGCAGACUCUGUGAAGAUGAAGUGAAGAGUCCCAGAAAUGGUGCAGGAGGAAACGGGCAGCCCUGUUGUGACUUCCUGAUUUGCGUGGUGUGAGGCCUCUUCCCCUGUGGCAUCACCUGGCUGGAGUCUGCGGUGGGUCUGAACUGUCUUGCAACAGUGUGAUGCGUUUGUCUUCCUGCCUGACCACUUCUUCCACACUUAUUUCAUGUUUCUAGGAGGUUUUGUGUGUGUAGCUUUGCAGGCGGUGCGUCUCCGCUCCCACUUCUUGCUGUGAGGAUGCCUGGAUAAGCAGCAGCAUGAUUGUGGCUGGGUGGCCUCAAUGUUGUGGGGGAGAGGAAUAGAAGCGAGGCUUCUGCGGUGGUGGUAGAAGAUGGAGGAACUGGAUCCCGAAAGGUGGGCUGGGUUAAAGUGGGAGGCUGGGUUGCGUUUUCCCUGGUCGUGUUUGGGUGGGGAAGGAAACGCCUUGUGCGUGAUGGGGUCUGGAGCUCCGUGCUGUCUGGGAAGUGAUGCUGAAGCAGGGACUUGUGGCCCUUAGGGAUGCUGCAGAGCAGGGGGUGUAAGCCUGUAUUGGGUUUAGUUUGGUGGUGAGACCUGACUCCUUGUAAAGGCUGGAAAUUGUCCUUGAGUAUAUUAGGGGUUUCAGUGUUUGCCCCUGGCUUCUGGGUGCAGGUGACAGCAUUGGAUGUGCUGGGACAGAGGAGCGGGUGCGUGAGUGUCCGCCUCUGCCUGGCUGUUGCUGCUGCCACUGGUCUCCCUUCAGUUCUGGGAAUUGCACUCUGUCCUAUGUCUCUGGGUGUGUCACUGGUGUUUCUUUCUACUUUGAUAUCUAAAAUCACAGCAGCACUUCUUCUUUCUUUCUUUGCUCUUCCCAGAGCUGGAAGGAUAGGUGUGUUUGCAACUGAAUUGAUCCCCUCAUUUGGGUGGGCUUUGACUGCACCCUGUGUGUCUCGCGUGCGAGUGGGGGUGUUAUGCUUUGGGUGUCCUAGGCUGCUGGGGGUGGGGGGCGUUGUCUCUGCUGUCAGUACUAUGAGACGUGAAUACUGUUGCGUGUAGUAAUUGCUUGUUGUUUUGGGUGUGAUGUUAAUAUGUCGAGCGUGAGUGGAGAAGAGCUGAGGCGAAGAGACCUAGAGCCAGCGCUAGGUAGAAGCGGGUGGAGGAAGCAGGUGGUCGUGCAGCCAUGCUCGCUUCUGGGUCACCUGGAGGGAGGCCUUUGCCUGUUCGGUGGACCUGUGUGCACGAGCAGAGCCUGCAGAGGUCCCUGCCUCCCCUGUGUGGAGAGGAUGGCAAGGAGGGAGGAGAGUGCGCCAGAGGAAGAGGAGCGCGAUGCCAGGUCCCAUGAGUGCUGUCUCUUGGGGGUCCUGACCUGUGCAGAGGGAAAUGACUGCCGGUUGAAGGAGUGAAGCUGAGCAGCGCCCACGGAGGGUGAAGCAGGAGGAACUCGAUGCCACACGGCGUGCCGGUGCCGGAUGGGCAGGUCUGGCAAUUGCAGGUGCCUGUCUCCCGUAUGGGGAGGGGAUGGCAAGCAAGGAUGCUUGAGGGCUGCAGGAGAAGAGUGAUGCCAGGUGUGGAGUCCUCUUGCCAAGGCUUCAGGACUGUGAAGCAGAGACUGGAAGAAGAGGUGAAGAGCCCCAGAGAUGGCGGAGGAGAAAACGCACAGCUGUCUCCUGACUUCCCAAUUUGUGUGGUGUCAGGCCCCUGGCCCUGCGGCAUCAUGCGGUUGGAACCUGCUUCCUCUGAGCUUCCUCGGAGCGGUGUGAUGUCUUCGUUUCCCUGUCUGACCGUUUCUUUCACAGUUGUUCUAUCAUGUUUGCAGGAUGUACUGUGUGUAUGGUGGUUGCUGUGGUGCAUUGCUUUUUGAAGCCCUGUGACUAUCUGGCUCUGGGCGGCCACAGGCAACCCUUUAAGAGCUCAGCUAGCAAGUAGUGGGUCUGGAUGUGUCUGCUGGGUGUUUGCAGAGGAGCUUUCCCUGUCUCUAGCUUUGUGCCGUUUCUUCUGCUCUCUGGGCUGGCUAGGUUUCUGUUCUUUUUCCAGCAUAGUCUAUCUUGAUGGGGUGAAGGAUACAGGGAGUACUGUGCCACAGUGUUGGAAGAUGAAGGAAUAGAAUACUUAAAAGUGGGCUUGGUUAGGGAGGGGUGGUGGUGAGUGGUUUCUUCCCUGUAGUUUUUUGGGUGAGGGAGCAAAUGCCUAGUGUCUGAUAGUGUCUGGCGCUUCUUGUUUCCAGCAGGGUUCUGGCCUCCUGGGGUGCCCCAGAGCUGGGUGGUGUAAGCCUGGGUUGGGUUUAGCCUGUGUGUGUGUCCUGGCUCUCUUUGUACAGGCUGACAAUAACCUUUGAGUAUAUAGGUGGUUUCAGUGUUUGCCCCUGGCAUCUGGAUGCAGAUCUUGUCCCUGGGUGUGGUGGGGCAGAGGAGCGGGUGCCUGUCUCUGCCUCUGCCUGCCUGUUGCUGCUGCUGGCCUCCCUUCCGUUCUGGGAAGGGCACUUCGUUCUGUCUGUCUGGGUUUGUCACUGGUGUUUCUGUGUACUUGGAUUUUGAACAUCAGUGCAGCACUUGUUGUUCUUGCUUUCCUAUUCCCAGAGCUGGAAGGAGGGCUGUGUUGGCAAUUAAAUUGGUCCCCUCCUUUGGGAGGGGUCUGAAUGCACCCUAUGUUGCUUGUUUGGGGCAGUUGCUUGUGCUUUGUCCUUUUGUUUGGUAGUGAAGUUUCCCCAUGUGCUGUCAGGAGGUUCCUGCAUCCUGUGAGAGGAGACGAAGCGAAGCAGGGACAAGUGAGGGCUGCAGAAGGAGCGGCAUAAUGCCAGGCAGGGUGAGGGCUGUCCCGAGGCUAAAGCCUUUUCUGCGGCUGAAUGGGAGGCGUCGUAGCCGGGCACCCCUCGGAGACCUUUGAGCCGGGGAGCGGGUGUGCGGUGUGGGAGUUGUACUGUGGGUUCCUUCUCCUUGGUUGUGGUCCUGGAGUGACUACCUGUUCUCUUCCUUCUAGGGUCCUGGCCCGUGUGCAGGGAAAUGUAUGAUGGCUCAGGGGGUGGAGUGGACUAGUGCCCAUGGGGGAUGAAGCAGUAGGAGUUGGCUGUUGCAUGGUGUGUUGGCAUUGAAUAGGCACAUCCUGCAGUUGGUAAAUGAUUGCUUGAAGCAGUGUGGGGUUGCCCAGGUCUGGCAGGUUUUUGUGCUUUGCCCUUUGUUGUUUUCUGUGCUCGUUGCGCCGAGGUUUUCCUUUGCGUCCUCAGCAGGCGCUUGCCUCCUGUGGGGAAGGGAUGGCAAGCGAGGCUGUGCAAGGGGUGACGGAGCACUGCGAUGCCACGUGUGGCGCGUGCCGGUUCUCUGGGCUGAGGCCUUCGCCCUGGUGUCUGCGUGCCCUCUGUGUGCCCUUUGCAGUGUGAUGAGGUGCUCUCUUGGCUUGCUGUGUGUUGUGGGACUUGCUCAGUGGUUUGCUCAUCCUGUGUUGAGUUCUGCUUGUUGGGCUGAUCACUUGUUGUCUGUUCUCUGUACGGUCCUGGUAUGUGUGGAGGAAAAGGAAGAGGGCUAAGGAGCGGAGCAGAACAGUGGUAAUGGAGGAAGAGAAGCAGGAUGCUGGGAGGUGGGGUGGGUUGGGGCGGGCGGUGUCUGGGUGUGGUGGGAAGGCCCUGGUCUGGCAUGGUGUCUGUGUUAGGUGAUCCCAGUUAGAGAUGCUGGAGCAGGGUGUUGCGGCAUUUGAGCUUCCUCUCAUCUCUUGCGGUGGCCUGCUGUGUCCAGGGGCCCCUCGUGCGGCUCUUCACGAGGCUUGAAAAUGCGUACCUGUCCCUGCCAGCAGGUUUUUUGGCUCCUUGAGCUGGGUUUGCUACAACACUUGGGUGCCGGUGUCUGGCCCUCUCCAGAUUUUGGUGGGGCAGAAGUUUGGUGCGUCUUUGCCUACCUGGCUGUCUUGGUACAGGCUCUCCCACCGGUGCUGGGACUGGCUUGUCCUCUGUCCAUGUGCCUUUGUUUGUCUUGUUGUCUUGAAAGUUGUUGCAGCCUUUUUCUGUUGUUCCCAGAUCUGGUAGGAGACCUGUGUUUGCACACCUAAAUUGCUUCCCUUGCUAUUGAAGGGAAAGGCCUGAGGGGUCUGGCUGUCCUGUGACAGCUGUCGGCUGGGGGUUGGGGCGUAGGGGAUAAGUCGUGUGCGGCGUCUCGGCAGGGAGCGGCCGUUGUCCCUAGUGCUGCGAAGCCUUGGAGUUGUCGAUAGUGCCAAUUGCCUUUUCCUUACGUGUGUGGAGGAGCCAUCUUGUGAAGGUUGCAGGCCUAUGAAGCAGCCACUGGGAAGAUUUCAUAGAUUUCAUAGACAUUCGGGCUGGAAGGGACCUCGGAAGAUGAUCGAGUCCAGCCCCUGCCCAAAGGGCAGGAAGUCAGCUGGGGUCAUAGGAUCCCAGCAAGAUGAGCAUCCAGUUUGCUCUUAAAGGUGUUCAGUGUAGGCACUUGAACCGCCUCCGGCGGCAGGCUAUUCCAGACCUUGGGGGCUCGGACAGUAGAGAAAUUCUUCCUUAUGUGCAGCCCGAAACGGUCUUGUCGUAGUUUAUGACCAUUCGACCUAGUCGUCAUCCCUUGGGGCGCUCUGGUGAACAAACGUUCCCCCAGAUACUGGUGGUCACCCCCGAUAAACUUAUAGGUGGCCACCAGAUCACCCCUGAGCCUGUGCUUUUCCAGGCUAAAGAGCCCCAGGGCUCUCAGCCUGUCGUCGUAGGGUCUGCUUCCCUGAGCUCUGAUCAUGCGCGUGGCUCUUCUCUGGACUCUCUCAAGCUUCUCCAAAUCCUUUUUGAAUUGUGGAGCCCAAAACUGGACGCAGUACUCCAGCUGUGGCCUCGCCAGGGCCAAGUAUAAGGGGAGAAUGACGUCCCGGGAUUUGCUUGAGAAGCAUCUGUGGAUGCAAGCCAGCGUUUUGGUCGCUUUACCAGCUGCAGCAUCGCACUGCAGGCUCAUGUUCAUCUUGUGGUCAAUGAUGACCCCCAAGUCUCUUUCUUCCAUAGUGCUAGCCAACGUAGCACUGUUGAGCCUAUAAGGAUGCUGCAGGUUUUUCUUCCCAAGGUGGAGAACCUUGCAUUUAUCGGCGUUGAACACCAUCAGAUUAUCGUCCGCCCGCUUGCUGAGCCUGUCCAGGUCAGCCUGGAUCGCCCGCCUGUCUUCUGGUGUGGAUGCUUUGCCCCAAAGUUUGGUGUCGUCGGCGAACUUGGCCGGCCCGCUUCUGACUCCAGUGUCCGCACCGUUAAUGAAGAUGUUGAACAGUAUGGAUCCAAGGACAGAGCCUUGAGGGACCCCACUGGUCACAGGACACCACGAUGAGUGACUUCCAUCAAUUACUACCCUCUGGGUCCGACCACGGAGCCAAUUUUCCAUCCAGUGGAUCCUGGAGGACCCAAGGUGACAAUUGGCCAGAGGCGAUCAUGGGAAACCAGAUCAAAGGCUUUUUUGAAGUCAAGAUAUAUGACGUCAAUCUCUUCUCCCUUGUCCAGGUGAUAGGUCACCCGGUCGUAGAAGGAAAUGAGAUUGGUCAAGCAAGACCUACCCGCAACAAACCCGUGCUGGCUAUCCCUUAAGACGUUGGCGUCGGCCAGUCCGUUAAGGAUGGCCUCUUUAAUUAACUUUUCUAAGAUCUUCCCCGGGAUAGAAGUCAGGCUGAUGGGCCUAUAGUUAGCCGGAUCCACUUUCCUCCCUUUCUUGAAGAUAGGCACCACAUUGACCUUCUUCCAGUCUUCGGGCAUGACACCAGAGCGCCAAGAGUUGUCAAAGAUCCAUGCUAGAGGCUGGGCUAUGAUGCUCGCCAGCUCCUCGAGUACCCCGGGGUGAAGAUUGUCAGGGCCGGCUGACUUGAAGGUAUCCAGCUUCUCAAGAUGUUCCUUCAUGAAGUCAGCAUCAAUGGAGGGCAGGGGAUCACGCUCACCCGGUGAAGAGACCCACAGUGGGCAGCCCUGUUAUGAUUUCCCGAUUUGGCACGGUGCGAGGCCUCUACCUCUACGGUGUCACCUGGCUGGAGUGUGUGGUGGGUCUGAGCUCCCUUGGAGCAGCGCGAUGUAUUUGUCUUCCUGCUUUGUCACGUUUUCCACGCUUGUUCUUUCAUGUUUCCAGGAGGUUUUGUGCGUGUACCUGUGCAGGUGGUGUGUCCCCACUCUGUCUUCUGGCUGUGAGGAUGCCUGGAUAAGGAGCAGCGUGGUUGUGGCUGUGGUGAGCAGUGCCUGUUGGAGAUGAGGGCUCUUCUGUGGUGGGUGUGCCCUGUGUAAGCUAGGUGGGUUUUUGAUUGCCUGUGAAUAUCCAGCUCAGGCUGGCCAGAAGCAAGCGUUUGAGACCUCAGGUAGUGGGUUGUGGUGCUGGAGGUUUGGAGAGGAGCUUACCUUGGUUCUGACUAGGUUGCCUUGUAUCCCCUGUUUGGGGUGAUGAGGGUUUUGUUUGAUUUCUAGUGGCUUUGAUCUUGUGGGGGAGAAGGAUGUGAGGGCAUGUUGUGCUGUAGUGAUGGAAGAUGGGGGAACAGGGUGCUGAAAAUUGGUUUGGUUUAGAGUAGCGGGGUGGAGUGGCUGGUUUGCUCUGGUGAUGUUUGGCUCGGGGGUGGGGGGGUGCCAGUCUCUGCCUGUGUGUUGCUGCUGCCACUGGCCUCCCUUCAGUUCUGGGAGCUGUACUCUGUGUUGUCUCUCUGGGUGUGUCACUGGUGUUUCUUUCUGCUUUGAUGUUGAAAAUCACAGCAGCGCUUUUUGUUCUUUCUUUGCUCUUCCCAGAGCUGGAAGGAUGGGAGUGUUUGCAUGUAAAUUGGUCCCCUCCUUUGGGAGGGGUUUGCUUGUACGCUCUGUGCCUUGUGUGGGGGUGGCGGCUGUGUGCUGCUUUUGGAGACCGGGGCCGGUGCAUCUCUCUCCUUAGUACUGAGAUGUGAAUACUGUUUCGUGUAGUACUUGCUUGUUGUUUGGGGGGUGAUGCAAAUAUCUGGAUGCUGAGCGGGGAAGAGAUCAGGUAGAGGUGAAGUGACCUAGUGCCACGACCAUGCAGAAGGAGGAGGAAGAAGUUGGUGGCUGUGUCCCUGUUGUCACUUCUGGUUCUCCUUGAGCAAGGCCUUUGCCUGUCGGGUGGAGCUGUGUGCGUGGACAGAGCCCGCAGCAGGUUUCUGUUUUUCUCCAGCCCAGUCCUGGGUGUUGGGCAUUGACUAGGUAGGGUAGACGACUGGAGAUGGAUCAGGAUGUUUCUGACUGUGGUGAGUACUGGAUGUCAGAGAAAAGGUCCUUCUUGUGGUGGUGUCUCCAGCAUAUGCUGUGGCUGCUGUGCUGUGGUCCCAACAGAGGCAAGCCUUGGAGAGCUCAGAGGUGUGGACCAGGGGAUGGGAUUGCAUUGUGUGGCUUUGUGCCUUUGCUUCCGUUGUUGGAGUCCCUGGCUGUUGAAUGUAUUUCUGUUUGCAGGGUCCUGGUCCUUGCAGAGAAGUUUGAGCAGAGAAGGGUGGAAGAUGGAGGCAGAGAGGAUGGUGCAAGCGGGGGGUCUUUUUACCAAGACUUUUGGGGCAGGGAGGAGAAGUGGAGAUUGGGCAGAAGAAGAGAAGACAUCUUGAAGUCAUGAACCAUGGAGCUGCCUGUCAUUGGUGCGUGGAGCAUGUGAUGUGUGAGAGCUUGCUUUGGGGGAAGCUGUUGCUGCCUGGUUUUGCCUUGGCACAUUUUGGCGAGGUUUUACUUGUGCAUGUUCCCAGGUGCUUGUGCUGUAGCUCUGUCGUGAGGAGCGGGGCUUGGGCAGUGACAUGCUGAGGGCUGGAGAAGGAGCACCACAAAGAUGGCUGUGAGGCCUUGGUCAGGCGUGAAGUAUGUGAGCCAGGAGAGUCGUACAGCACACACGCAGGAUGGAGGGCAACAAGUCGAGCGGGGGGCUUUUUUGGCCAGGGCUGCUGUGAAAUCUGGUGUAGGGCUGGGCCGGCCGGUCCAAGUCUGUCGGACUCCACGUAUAGGAGAAACGACGGAUGUCUAAGGAGCUUGUGGGGCGUUUGAUCUGGGCUCAUCCCUGGCACUUGGGGUGCAGGCCUGGCCCCUCUCUGGGGUGUGUUGAGGGUGAGCUCUGGGUUUGCAUUCAUGCCCCUGACUUGCUGUUGCUACAGGCCUCCCUUCAGUCUUGGGAACAGCGCUAUGUCCUGUGUGCCUGGGGGGUGUCACUGGUGUCUCUCUCUUUCUACCUCUUUGUAAAAUGUCUGCAGCACUUGUUCUUUUUCUGCUCUUGUCAGGACUGGAGGGAAGGCUGUGUUCUGGGUAUUGCCUUUGGAUUCUCAGGGGUUGCUUUUGUCCUCAGGGCUGUGAGUCCCGUGCGCCGCGUGACUUUUCCUAAUUUAUUUUUGUUUUGGUGACAUGUAUGGGAGUCAUCUGGCUGAGGCUCGAGGCUCCUAAGUGGGCAUCGGGAAGAAGAGGUGGAGACCCCAGCACCUGUGACCUGAGGAAGCUGGUGAAAGAAAUGGAUGUCGGUGCAUUCGCUUUGCGGUUGCCCGGUGUGAGACUUCUGCCCGUGUGGUGGCCCUGGGCUGGAAGCCUUGCUGCGUGGAGCCUGCGAUAGAUGUUGGAUUGCUGCUCCCUGUGUGGUGAGAAGGAUGGGCUGCAAUGACUGGAGGCCUGGAAAAGGAGCCGUGUGGCCAGGGUCCUGGCCUGCACGGAGGGAAGUAGGUGAGAGGACUGCAUCGUGGAAGAGCCGUGGGACAGUGUUGGAUGACAGACGCGGACCGGCUGGAUGUUGCCCGCUACGUUGGAAUGUCCCUUCUGUAUUGGGAUUCUGCGUGGGGGUGUGGGGUGGGUUUGGGAGUGUCCUCAGCUUUAUGAUCCUGGAGCCAGGGGUUUGCAAGUAGUAUGUUUGGGUCAGUUUGUCUGUGCUGUGGGUGGACCUAGGGUGACCAGAGGUGAAAUCCAUUCCUGUGACCCUGUAGUUGGACCAGCACCCAGACACUUGCAGGAACCGCUGGCCAAGCAGGCCCAGAGCUUUCAACUGUUGAGCACGGCAAUGCUGGAGCCAGCUAGCAUGGAAGCAGAAGGGCCGGCCGGGCGCGGGGCCCGGGCUGCCUCUGUGGCUUCUGUGCUAGUGAGGUUGAGAAUUGCAGUGCUGGGGGGUUGGAGGUUUUGGACCUGCUUGUGCAGGGUUCUUCUUGGUGUUGGGGUGCUGGUUCUGCCGGGUCAGAGCAAUGGGUUUUAUUCUGCCUGGCUGCCAUGUUUACAGUGUCCUGCAGGGCUGGGAGCCUGUCGUAGCAGCGUGUGUUUGGCUGGGGCGGGGUGGUUGUCUGGUUUGGUCCCUGAGCAGUGUGGUGAGCAUGUUUGUUAUUACCCUGAAAUAAAAUAGUUUUCUGAUAGCCUACUGUUAGGCUAACAAUAAUUUAGAUUAUUAAGAAGUAUUAGCUUUGCAGCUGAAUACAAGGCAUGACCUGUGGCCUAGCAAUGCCGCUGACCACAAGGCAGAAUGAUAGCUAAGCCUUUGCUUAUGUUAAGUAAUCAUUUUAACUGUGUUGACUAUUUUCUGAGUAAAAUGCAGCAAGUGAAUCUGUGUCUGUGUGCUGUAAACCAGAUACAGCAAGGAACAAGGUAAGAGGAAGAAGGCAUUGUUCUAAGUACAGUGAUCGUGUCCUUAAGAAGUAUCUAGUAUUGUGCAAGUUUUUGCUAACAUAUCAUCAUGUUACUGUUAUUUAUGUUAGAAAAUAUUGUUGGAAAAUCAAUGUGACCUUUGUAUGACCUUUGGUCAAUGCUGGCUGAUGCAACCUUGCAGUAAGAUUGCCAUGAUCUGUCAAUAUAGGCGGGCAAACAAGGUGAUUGGGCCCAACCGUGCGGGGUGAGCAAAGCCAAGCCAUCUUGGUGAUUUCCUCUGAGUUUUGUGCAUGCGUUAUGAAGGAGCUUAUGUAACCAGAGUUUAUAAAUCUAUGUGUUGAGUUGCAGUCGGGGGUCUCUCUGCCCUUACGAGGACAGGGGACCUUUGGUCGAAUAAACUGAAAAGACCACACCCUCGUCUCCUGCUUAUUGGAGUCUCAGGUGGGAAACGAGCCCUGUUCGGGUUAAGAGAGUCUGCAGGUAUUCCCUUACCAGAUUGGGAGCCUGGUCAGACAAUUUCUCUCACAAUUUGGCGAGCCAGCCAGGAGCACCCAGCUCGUCGCGUCGCCGCUGCCGCCUAAACCCAACCUCCGGCCGGCCGUAACAGAGGUGAGUUCACCACGGGAGUCUUGGGUUAAGGCUGCAGACACGGCGGGACGAUAAGGUGACUCCUUCAAUUUUACUGGCAUGGUGUGGUCUUUUAUAUGUUGUGUAUGUCUUGUCUAACGUGUUAUAGGCCAGUCUGUUCUCCGGAUCCUCAAACCUGGGCACACAGGCAAUUUUAGUUAAUUGCCCGUUCGACUCUUUUGAGCCGAUAAAUCUGUGUGGCGCAUUUUAUGUCUCCAUUCGCGCACUGAGGAACCGUCUCUGUUUCUGACCUUUUAACUGGAUAAGUCCUCCAACCUGUUUGAGGGAUCCUAGAAGCCUGCCUUUCCAGGUUGGUUAGGUCUAGGGCAGCGAAGAAAGCAGGGUUUUUGGGGAGCUUUAUAGUAUAUCAGGUCAUCUGGGAAAGGGAUGUCCGCCAAGAGUGAUGAUGGGACAGAAAUAGUCAAUUCUGGCUAGUAGUCCUCUUGGAGAAUUGUUAAGCAACUGGAAUAAGUUAUCUGGACAUGGCCAAUUGAGUAAGAAGUGCGCUAUAGCCUUAUGUACUAGUGUCUGGCCCGGCUACGCUUAUAAAAACCCUGAACUUCAGUGGCCAGUUUUGGGAUCCCUCAGUGUAGAUAAAUUAAGGUACCUCAGGGGGUUUCUAGAGGAACCCCAUCCCCGACUAAUGGAUUAUUGGUAUCUCUGGUGUGAUUUGAUGGAUUUAAUUCUGCAGAGGAAAAAAAAAACUGAUUACUUCUGGCCGCUCAACAACGUCUGUGGUGUCUUCUCCCCCUUAUUCUCCCACUAUGCCACCACUGGUGACUAGGGGACCAGCCAUAAUAAACCUGGCCGCUUAGGCCGUGGCCCUUCCGGCACCUUUUACCCCUCCAUCAGGCUCCUCUCCUCCCGUAACAGGAGUGUCAGGGUCUGUACCUGCCUCCUCGGAGCCUACUUUCAGUCCCGUAGCAGGACAUACUAGGUAGCGUUUGAAUCAGGUCAUACACCUGCUGUUGUACACAUGUAAUGACAUCUGCACACCCCCAUCACACAUGCAGUCACGCCUGCUCAGAGUCCCUUACAGACAUGCGCCUGCACAGAACCCCAAAACACGCUGCGACAUACAUGUGCCCCAACAGGUGUCCGUGACACACUUGCACACAAAUGUGCAUCCUCGCACACACGCAUGUGCACAGUCUCACACACGCACCCAGAGCCCAGGUGCCUGUGACACAUGUGCAUGCUCACUCACAUGGAACUCAGGUGUCUGACACACAUGCAUAUGUGCUCUCGCAGACACAGUCUAGCACACAUGUACAGAACCCAAGUGUCUGUGGCACACAGGCAAGUACCCUGACAUAUUCACAUUCACACACACACAACCCCACAUGGGUAGAUAUGAAUCAACCUGCCCCCAAUGAUGUGUGCAAUUAUUGUAAACAAUUGGGGCAUUGGAGACGAGAAUGCCCAAACUGCCCUAAGGGACUUCCCCCUUAUGGAGGAAGAAAGGGGGGAACCCAGGGAAAGAACCGGGCUGCCAGCACCGAUGCUACAGAUCUCUGGGUCCAGAGUUUGCAACAAGAUAUAGAUGACUCCCAGUGAAAUAAGGGGGCGGCUCUUCCACACGAUGUAUUUAGGGGAAUCUUCCUCUUUUGAGUAUAUCUGCGCCCCUUCAUCCCCCUUAUGUACCACUUCAAAUAGCAGGAAAAUUUUAUAAAUGUCUUAUAGAUAGAGGAGCAGAUCUGUCCUCACUGGGAGAAUCUCCAGAAAGGGCGGGAAUUGCAGUCUCAGGAUCUGAAAAGAUUAUGAGAGUCAUUGGAAAAUCUAUGCAAGUGCCCCGUGGCACUGAAACACAAGUGCAGAUAGGACCCUUGACCACUAUUCAUGCUUUCCUAUUAGCUGAAGGAACUGCAGUGCACCUCCUUGGAAGAAAUCUACUCUAUAAACUACAGACCAGAAACCCUUCACCCUACUUACUCAUGAGAAUCAAGGCGUUGCUUCAGGUGUCUUAACUCAGCCAUGGGGAGUUUCUAAUCGUCCCAUAGCAUACUAUUCUGCUCAGUUAGAUCCUGUAGCAAGGGCAGCAAUUCUUUGUCUUAGAGCAGUCGCUGCUGCCGCUGUGCUAGUUCAAAAGGCUCAAGAUUUAGUGUUAGGACACUCUCUUGUGGUUGAAAUAUCUCAUUCAGUGGAAGCUCUCCUACUACAGCACAACCUCUGCCAGCAGGGACCAACGCCCAGGCCGCUGAGCUAGCGGCGUUCCGACGAGCACGCAAAUUGGCCACAGCCUCCAGGGUUACUAUCUAUACUGACUCUAAAUAUGCUUUUGGUAUCUGUCAUGCGCUAGGACAGUUCUGGCGACAAAGAGGUUUUAUCACGUCCUCUGAUCCUGUAAUCAGCAAUGCCACCGAAGUCCAAGAACUGCUAGAGGCUGUCGUGUUACCAGCUGAAAUAGCGGUAAUGCAUUGUCCCAGACAUUCCAGAGAAGAUACUGACAUUGCUAAAGGAAAGCAUCUUGCAGAUGCUGCAGCUAGAGCCGCUGCACUACAAACUAAAGGAAGUCUCCUUGCAUCUCAAGUUGUUCUUCCACCCUUGUCUGUGAUUUAUGACAAAGUCGCAGUGGAUGAAGUAUCUAUAUGGGUCCAGAAGUGGGAAGCUGCGCAAGGAAAGGAUGCAGUGUGACGUGUGCCAGACGGUAGACCAAUUGCUCCUCGCACCUUGCUCCGAAGUCUGGCUCAGGAUGUCCACAGAUGCAGCCAGUGGGGAAAAGGAGAAAUAGCAGAACAGGUCCUCUCCACCUGGUUUGCUCCAGGUAUACAUCUAGAAGCUGCCCGAAUAACUCUGCAAUGUUCAGAGUGCAGAGCCUUCAACAAAUACAGAGGAGACACAAAAUUACAAGGGGUCCGACCGUGGGCCUAUUUACCCUUUGAAAAACGACAUGGAUUUGCUCAAAGCUGGAAAUUUCAAGCACUGCCUAGUAGUGGUAGAUCAAGUAACAGGAUGGCCAGAAGCUUUCCCCACUCGAGAAGCGGAUUCAGUAGCAGUAGCCAAACCCGUAUUAAAAGAAAUCAUCCCACAUUUCGGCAUUGCAGGAGGAAUAAACUCUGACCGAGGAACUCACUUUACAGAAACUGUUUUAAAAGAAGUUUACAGAGUUUUUGGAAUAAUAACAUACUUCCACGCACCCUAUCGCCCUCAGUCCUCGGGUCAGGUAGAGAGUAUGAAUCGGAGUAUAAAAUCCCUUUUAGGAAAGAUCUGCUCCUAAACCAAAUUGAAAUGGUCAGAUGCUUUACCAAGGGUGCUGUUCGCUAUAAGAACAAAACCGAAAUGGCCUCUCAACCUUGUCCCCCUACGAGUUGUUGUUUGGUCACACUCCUGUUAUAUAAGAGAUGGGAAAAUCUGCAUGUUAGCUUACUCGGCGGAGAUGAAGCUUUAAUUAGUUAUGUUUUAUCCUUACGGGAGUCUCUCUAGUGUUUACACAGGUCAGCUGCUUUGGUUCAGCCGGUACCCCUGGACUGUAACCUUCACCCCUAUCAAUCAGGACGCUGAGUUUGGGUAAAACAACAUCGACGAAAAACCGCCUCGGCCCAAGUCUGGGCAGGUCCGUACCAAGUUCUUCUUACUAUACACACUGCUGUGAAAAUCGCCGAGAAAGAGGGCCGGUUUCAUCGCAGUCGCCUCAAACCUGGUAUCGGCAAGUAAUGACCGGUCAGCUGCUGUUCCGCCUUUAUGGCUAGAAAGAAUCGGAGAAUCGUGGACCGUUCAGACUCCUUAAUAGAAAUGAUACGUGUAUUAAGCUUGCUUUGUAUUAUCUUUCUUGUUAUACUUUGUGUUUGUAUUUCACUGUGGACGCAGGGAAGGUUAUAAGUUAAUAAUGGCAUUUCACCGGGCUAUCCUAACAGGAUUAUUGCUCUUGAUGCAUAAAACACCACGGCUAUGUAUGGGAAAGCAAUACAGAACAGGAAGACCAGUGGAAAGAUAAUACUUACCUGAUUUCCACUAUAGCUAUAGCACAGGCCCUAAAAUUUGUCUAAUGGUUGGAUAUGUGGUACACAGCCUCCUUCUACUAACUUUCCACCCUAUCCUUUAAUCUCUUGGGAAGGGAUUUUUUCUAAUCCAGAGUGGGUUGAUACGGAUAGAGCUGGAAUAAGUACCUGGCAGGACAAUCCUUAUUUUAAAGAGAGAGUACUUUCAGACAUCAUGUUAUCUGCCCAGGUGUUGGGAAAAUCCUCGUGGAACAGGAAAAGAGAUUUUUAGGAUGGCAACCAGGUUGUAAACUAACCAUUAAUGCCACACACUUAAUUUGGCCUAACAAUACUGCAGUGGGGGCUAAAGAAGCUGAAAAGAAAGGUUACAUCCCCUGGAAUGUGUCUGCUCCCUGCAGUUCCUUGCAGCGUCCUUAUGUAUGGCAAUGUAUGGAAGGUUCCAUCCGAUGCUCCGCCCCUAAUAAAACUUGGGCUUGGAGUCACGGCUGUUUCACGUCUUGCAUAUACAGCUCCUUUGCAAAGCCAAGUUGUUCGUAUGUUAACUAUACCAUUUACAGAGACGGUUCAGUACCUUGCCCCAGAGAUCCUCAUACUACCGCAUCAAUCAACUAGCACAUGCAUUAGAACUUAUUGCCAAUAGCACAGCAGAGGGCAUUGAAUUAGUGCAAGACCAGGCUUCUUGCAACCAUGCUAAAAUCGCUUCGCUUUAGACUAUUUGUUAGCUAGAGAAGGAGGGGUAUGUGCUUUAAUCACAGGAGGACCCUGCUGCACCUAUAUUCCUGACCACUCUGACAACAUAACUGCUGCAGUAAAAACAAUUCGAGACAUAGCACGACAGGUAAACUCUUUGCGAAGUUGGUCAGUAAUAGAACGGAUUGCCUCAACUUUAGGAAUGUGGGGAAGGUAUAUCUUAGAAUACAUUUUAUGGGGAUUAGGAAUCUUCUUGGUUAUUAUUGUAAUAAUUGCUGUAAUUAUAGCCUGUGUAGUUUGAGUUAAGCAAAAAGUAAUUAAUCUCAAUAUUAUGCAAACCUGGGAAAUGGCCAGCAGGCCUUAGGCCUGUGGCUGUAAGCGGGGAAAUAAACGGCAGUAAAUCUUUACCUGCGUUGCUUGGUUUCUAUUGCAGCUAGAGAACAAACUUCUGGGAGUUUUCUCCCACCACAGCAGGAAGGAGGAUGUUGAAGGUUUCUGAGCCAUAAGCUCGAGCCCUCUUUUUGGAAGGGGUGUUAGAAAAUAUUGUUAGAAAAUUAAUGUGACCUCUGUAUGACCUUGGAUCAAUGCUGGCUGAUGCAACCUUGCACUAAGAUUGCUGCUGAUAUGUCAAUCUUGGCAGACAAGCAAGGUGAUUGGGCCCAACCAUGCGGGGUGAGCAAAGUCAUGCCAUUUUAGCAAUUUUCUGCUGGGUUUUGCGCAUGUGUUAUGGGAAAGGCUUAUGUAACCAAAAUUCAUAAAUAUGCGUUGAGUUGCAGUUGGGGUCUCUCUGCCCUUAUGAGGACAGGGGACCUUCAGCCAAAUAAACUGAAAAGACCACACCCUCGUCUCCUGCUUAUUGGAGUCUCAGCUGGGAUAUGAGCCCCGUUAGGGUUAAGAGAGUCUGCAGGUGUUCCCUUACCAGAUUGGGAGCCUGGCCAGACAAUUUCUCUCAUGGGGAAAGCAGAGCCGUCUGUUACUCAGCUUUGUUUUGUUGUUGUCCCUAGUGGAGGUAUUGCAAAAAUGUAUCAUCUCACUACACAAAAGGCUUCUCAGCUGAAAACUGUAAACUGCAAAUUGUUUCUUCUUCUCUCUCCCCCAUCACUGCGGGGCCAGGAGCGCGGGGGGGGUCGUGUUAGGGGGAGAGAACAAUGCUGCUUCAUGAUAAGGCUGACUCCUGUGGGAACAGAGAUUAGUUACUGCCUGCUUUGCACAUAAACUUUGCAGAAAACUGUAGCAAAUCACAGAUUGCCACAAUGGAAUCUUGUUCAGGAGAGGUAUAAAAAUGUAUCUUCGGGCAUGGCUAGGGGUCAACAUGACUUUGAGCUUUGAGCUCCGUUGUCGAUCUGUUUGCAAACAAACAUACUUGAAAUGGAUCCAGCCUAAGUGUGUAUAACUCUCUCUUGAGGUAUAUGGAAAAAGCCUCCAGAAACACGAAUCUAGCUGGUUGUGCAACAGAGGCACAACUGGGAAGCACCCCCCUGCCCCUGUCAGCUUAACCACCGUCUCGUCCGUCCAAGGCCCCUGCCUUGUAGUGUCUCUUGGGCCUGUGUGGUGUUGCUGGUCGUUGUGUUUUUUGGGGGGGGGGUGUGAGGGGUGUGCAGCCAAGGUGAUGGCUCCUGUGGAGAAGGGGAGUAGAAGCAGAAGUAGUUACGAAGAGUCUGGGUGCUGGGCUGAUGUCGUGGGAGAAAACUCCCUGGUGUUCAUUGUCUAGCUGGCUUAGAGACCAGACAACAGGGGUGAAGGGGUAACUGCAGUUUAUUUACUCGAGUAAAGACCAUAAAACAGCAAAAAGGUAAAAUGGCCUUGACUUAAGGGUGAGGCUGUCUUAUAUACAUUUUCUAACAAAGAAACUACAAGGUUAUUGAAUGUGCAAUACUUAUGGUAAUCAUCUCCUUACAUGGUGCAUUACAAAUCUCAGUACUUUUGCAGAGGAAAAAAGUUAGUGUUAUCUUACACAUUCCAAUCUGUUUUCCUGUGCUCUGCUGUACCAUCUUCUUCCCUCUGGCCCCCCCCCCCCCCCCCCCCGCCUUAUCUAAUCCGACUCCUAGCUGCAGCUGGUACCCGGUACACAGACUUAACCAUUUUGUUAGAAAAAAGCAGAAAUUAAGGCACUUGACAUAAGAAAAUGACUGGCUUAGAGAUCAUUCUGUCUUGUGGUCAGUAAGAUUGCUAGGCCACAGGUCAUGCCUUAUGUUUAGCUACGAAGCUAAUACUAUUUAAUAAUCUAAAUUACCCUGAAAUAAAAUAGUUUUCUGUAGUAUACUGUUAACAAUAAAGAGAAAGCCAUCACUUUGAGUGUGAGGUGGAAGAGGUGCCAGGAGGAUGUGUGGGGUGUGGCUUGUGCCCUGGUGUGUGCUUGGUGGGGUGAGAGAGGUGCGAAGCUGCCUGGGUGUGGUGGGAUGGUGCUGUGCUCCCUUGCUUGUUUGCUUUGUUUGGUGAUGUUUGUGUGUGUCCUUGUGUUGUUUGUGUUUUGCCUGUUUGUUGUGAGGCUGGCAAUAUUUUCUUCCUGGUGGUUUGUUUUGUACAUGGCUGUUUGCUCACCUCCUGUCUGCUGAGUUUUUUGUAUGUAACAUGUAGAGGAACUUGUGGGCCAACCUGGAAAAAUAAAAUAAAAGGAGAAAUGGUUUUGGCA